rnacentral:lncRNA from 1 species
AACUUUUUACAAAGUGCAUGUCUUUUGCAAAGUACCUGUGACCUCCUCCACAGGAUCGGGAUCGAGUGAGGUCUGGCUCUACCGAAUACUGAAGAUUAUCAGGCUAUUAACAGCACCCAUUCUAGGCAUCUAUCCCUUCUACUAAAGAGAGAAGCCUUCGAAUUUAACAUUUAUGGCUUCUCUGAUUCUGGUUUUGGCCAUGAGGAUCUCCUGCCCUUCUGCACAGCAUCGUAGAGUGUAUGCCUGCUGUCUCAUAUCUCAGGAAGCAGAGGAAGGAGUUCAUGGCCACUUCCAGGCAUAUGGAGGAGUUGAGACUAAUCUGGGAUGUUACGUGAGACCCUGUCGAUACAAAUAUCCCUUUGAAGAAUCAAUCUCCUCUUUGGGACUGCAAGGCCUGCCUUGACUGGGAAAGAACUUCAGAAAUCAGCCAUGGCAAAGAUGAACAGCUUUCCUUCACCACACUUGCCCACCAUCAUGUUGCUGUCGUGCCCCAGACCAAAGCAAUGGAUGCAGAUGACUUAGUAUCUCUGAAAGGGCGGAUGGAAAUGUGAUCUCUCAGCUCCCUGCUCUGGCCAUCUCAGCCACCUGCAUCAGACCUCCUCUGCUGUGACAGACUUUCACUGUGGAACUGUAAGGCAGAAUGAACUUUUCUGUAAGCCUCUUCUGGGUAUGGUAUUUUGUCACAGUAACAAGAAAAUUAACUAAUACAACACAUCUGGCAGUUGAAUAUUAAAAUUAGAAAUCUCUGCCACUCCUCUUGUUUGCUUUUGACAGGGUCUCAUGUA